rnacentral:rRNA from 1 species
AACGAACGCUGGCGGCAUGCCUAACACAUGCAAGUCGAACGCCUGUAGCAAUACAGGAGUGGCAGACGGGUGCAAAACGCGUGGAAACCUAUCCUUGGGUUCGGAAUAACCGCGGGAAACUGCGGCUAAUACCGGAUACGUCCUUCGGGAGAAAGAUUUAUCGCCCAUUGAGGGGUCCGCGUCUGAUUAGCUAGUUGGUGAGGUAAUGGCUCACCAAGGCGACGAUCAGUAGCUGGUCUGAGAGGAUGAUCAGCCACACUGGAACUGAGACACGGUCCAGACUCCUACGGGAGGCAGCAGUGGGGAAUUUUGGACAAUGGGCGCAAGCCUGAUCCAGCCAUGCCGCGUGAGUGAUGAAGGCCUUAGGGUUGUAAAGCUCUUUCACCGAUGAAGAUAAUAACGGUAGUCGGAGAAGAAGCCCCGGCUAACUUCGUGCCAGCCGCCGCCGUAAUAC